rnacentral:lncRNA from 1 species
UUAGGAACCCUUUCAGCACUCUGGGAUGUUCUCCCUUUGUUCACGAACACUGGAUGGGGUGAGAACUCAAAUAUUGGUUUUCUAAAGAAACAUAUGGGCGCUUCAUUUGAAAAACGCCCACAGCCAUGGGUCACCAACCUUACUACCGAUGACAUACAUUCUGGAGAUUUUCUUCGCUUCAUUUGAAAAACGUCCACAGCCAUGGGUCACCAACCUUACUACCGAUGACAUACAUUCUGGAGAUUUUCUUGCAUUAUCAAAAAUUAGAGGUCGCUGGGGUGGUUUUGAGACUUUAGAGAAAUGGGUAUCAGGAGCUUAUGCUGGCCAUUCUGCUGUUUGCUUGAGAGACUCUGAAGGAAAACUAUGGGUUGGUGAAUCUGGAAAUGAGAAUGAUAAGGUAGUGUAACUGAACUAUUUUGUUUUCACGUUGUGUUAUUCUGUGAUAUUUACUCUUUCUUUUCUUCGGGAGCAAGGGCAAAGUCUGUUACACAGUAAAGAACUGGAAGAGUAGAAGGAGAAUGGAGAUAGAGAAAAUUUGCUUUUGUGUUCAUUGUACUAGAGAAUGGAGAUAGAUUUAUGAUCUUCUCUAGACAAGAGGGGUUGCUCUGAUGGUAAGCAACCCCCACUUCCAAUCGAGAGGUUGUGAGUUCGAAUCUGCCCAAGAGCAAGGUGGGAAGUUCUUGGAGGGAAGGAUGCCGGGAUCUACUUGGAAACAGCCUCUCUACCCAAGGGUAGGGGUAAGGUCUGCGUACACACUACCCUUCCCAGGCCCCACUAAAUGAGAUUAUACUGGGUUGUUGUUGUUAUUGUUGAUCUUCUCUAGUCUUUUUAUAGUGAAAGAAAUGUUAGUGAUUGACUUCUCCAUUUGCU